CAGGGGGAAGCACAUCACACGCUGUUGGCUCAUUCUGGCAGUCCAACCUGGCAUUGUCUUUACACAAUCCUGCAUGCAACUUUUUAUUUACAGUAAUCAGGAGCAGUUCAUCUUUUAUUCCGUAGCAAUAGUUUCAGGGGGUCUCCCUACAAGCAGUCUUUCUCCAGCCAGGAUACCACGCAAUGUUUUAAGUUUCUUUAUUCUUAUGUACUAUGACAUUACAGAACUGUCUUGAAAUUUUGGUGUGAUUUUGCUGACCUACCUUCUGAGAGUAAGAUGCGACCAGACAGCUGACACUCCCAAUACUGGUUCAAAUACCCUGUUCUCUUGCAUUCUGAAGAUGCUCGUCACUCCUGUGGAUUGAUGCAGGGAAAUGGAUACAAACAUGGGAUGGACCUUGGUCAUCGACGUGCUCCAGAUGUCUCAGUUGCAAACGCCUGGACAAUGAGGAUGUUAGCUGAGAAGAGGGAGUCCUGAAAUGCCAGUUAACCCAGCAGAAGUUGAUAAGCUCACUCACAGCCAGGGACAUGGUUUCCCAGGUAUACAGUUCUAUUGUAAAGGAGGCGAUGGGUUUCUUCUCCUCUGCCGACCCACUGAAUUUUAUAAGAAAAGCCAGUGGGCUCCCAGACAAAGUUAAAAAGAACAGAAUGGCAAUUUUCGUGUGGUGUUAAUUUCCGUGGAAGAAGAAAAGGCUCGACUCUCUGUCCUAUUUUUCAUGAAUACUGGAAGUAGGGAAUAAACCUGGAGUCUCACGGGUGAAAAGAGACAUUUCCAUAUCACCAGACCACAAACGUGGGUGUUGAUUCUAAGGAUACCCCCAAUAAACAUCUUUCGUGCUAAAGCCCAUUCCAGAAUUUACUUCCCAGCUAUCUUUGAUGUUCAUAUUGUCAGAGGUGGUGGCCGCUGAAACAGGCAAAGACAUGGAGCAUAUCUUGGGUCCAGGUAAAGGAGGUGGGUGCACACAAGUGAAAAGAUGUUGCUGAAGUCACGUGGCUUCAAGCAGUAGAGCUGACUGUCCUCUAGUCCAGUUGUCCCUACAGGAUAAAAGCUUCUCUCCAUUACAGAGACCUUGGGAGUCCAGAGGAAGGUCUUUUUACCAUCAGCAUUCUCUACUGUGUUCAAUGACUGUCAGCCAAAGAUGGCCAGGUUCUCUACUGUGAUGGUGAAUUUUAUGUGUCAAUUUGACUGGACCAUGGGAUGCCCAGCUUUCCUUCAGAAAGAAAUGCAUUCAAAGAACCUACAUUCACAACAUAAAGAAAUAAAGCCUGCACCUACAGAUCUACACACAUGCCCAUGCACAUGCAGGAAGUGUUCAUCUAAGACUGGACCUUUUAGAAGAAAGCUGGCAUACAUUCGUGAAGGCAUGGGCUUCCAGGCAUGUCAUCUUCACUCACGAAGCACACACAAGACCGCCAAGCAUUAAGAUUCUCCUGUGGAGCCAGGCUACAAUCCUUUAAAUGAAGACAGACAGCUAGGUGGCUGCAGCCCAGCGCUACACCUCACCCCUCCCUCAGUGUCAUGCAGAAAAAAUGUAUUCAGAACUCAGAAGUGAAGUUGUGCAAAUCCAUCAUUGACACUAGCUUCAAGGUUACCUCGGGGGAGCAGAAUGUACCCCUGCCAGAGAGCUGGAUAGAUGAUGAUGGGGACAGAAAUUCUGGGGGAGUUGUAAAUGGCAGCCACUGCCUCUAUAGGAAACCCAAAGGGAACACAGCAGAAGAGGAGGUGGUGGAGGAGCCACUGCCCUCUCGAAGGGUUCAAUGUCAUUCUGCAGACACAACCAAAUAACUUUUUCUUCCCUGCUGCUCCUCCAUUUGAAAUGACAGCCCCGAGCUCGCUUUUUCCUUGAUUGUGUAACUCUGAUUACAGACAAGGCCAAGGCAAUCCCAGGGCAUUACUACAAAGCUAAGGGGUCCCCAAAGAACUAAAGAGUCAGCUCCACAAAAAUCCCGAUUCCUAGCAUGAAACUGAAAUAUGAAACCAAACGGGCAUAGAAAAGGUAUGUGCAUUCGAAUCACAUAGCAGUGACUGGAGUCCUGAGCUGUGUCUGAAGACUGUGAGAUCACGUUUGGAGCUGCUGAUUGGUUUUCAGUGAUGGCCCUGUUGCACAGUGCCGUGAGACUUAGCUCCAUGGCCAAAGACGAUGGUAUCCCCUAGGAGCCCUGUGAGGUUGCUGCUGUUCUCUUAAGACACCAGGUAGCCAUCUGAUCCUCCCUGAGCAAACUAACUGGGCAGACAGGUUUAUUAAACCUCUGUUGGUCCGACUUACAUGAAACAAGAGAGUUAUUUUGUUGUUGUUGUUUUGUUUUGUUUUAAAUUAAACCUGUCUUUGGAGCCUCCUGCUCUUAGUUUACAAGUCUUCUUUGCACACUCUAAUAUUUUAAGAAGCAGCAAACAUUAACUGAGGGUCUA
rnacentral:lncRNA from 1 species